CUCUGCUUUCAAUUUUUCUCCAAGCUCUCUAUCUUUCUGUCUCUCUUCCUUCUCUCUUUCACUUUUCCCUCUUUUCUCCAUCCAUUUAUGCUAUUCACACUUUCCAUCUCCUUAAUCAAUGGAGAGGCUCAAAAGUCUCUCUGAAAUUUUACCCCAAUCUUUAGAUUCUUACUCCUCACCAAACUCUAACUUCUUAACAAGAAUAGAACGACCAAAUCCAAACCCUAGUGUCCGACUCAAUCGAUCCAUCAAACCGCAAAAUGACCGAUGAUACGGCUAACGGGAUCAAUUCGGCGGCGAAGAAGAGACGGCGAGCCGUAGAAAUCGCCGUCUUCGUAUAAUGGAGUUGCUACUGCCGGAAAUCCCUCCCUCUCUUUUCAAUUUUUCGCUCAACAGAUCCCUAAAUUUCAUUCUCACUCUUCAAUUUCCAUUAUGGAGCUGGUGUUGCCGGUUAGAUUUCCUCUCCUGUUCUAAUUAUAUUUCGUUUGAAAUUUGAUAAUUUUUGGAGUAUUUGAUUUAUUGUUCUGUGAUUCACAUUUUUGAAAUUAACCUGAUUUGUAAUUUUUUUUUUUUUUUUUUAAUUUAUAGAAUUUUGAGUGUUGUAGAUGAAAUUGUUUAAGAAUGUUAAAUAUUUGGAACUUGAGUGAUGCAUUCUUUAUAUUAUCAUAAUACUAUUACAAAAUGAUGUGACGAUGCUGUGAAAUAUUGAUUGAAUUUGGUUUCGAAAAUGUUAAAAGGCGGAUUAUAUAUAUAUGACAUUAUGACUACUGUUUUUGGGGAAAGAUGACUAGAUGAGAAUAAGAAGGAGCUAUUUUGUAUCAUUUGCUUGUUUUAUGAGACAAACUGAAGAAGCAGCUUGCUGCUUUUCGUGUCCUAUUAAUGGAUAAUUAUUCUUCUAAUGAAGAACCAAUCAUUAAGAUGCUUUUGUAUUGCUUCUCCUAUUUCUAAAUUUGCUUACUUUUAUUUACAAGGUAAAGUCAUUUUACACUUAUUUAAGAGCUCGAUUUUUGUUCAAAGUGUAUUGUAGUAAUUAUUUUGAGAUUAUAGUAUAGAAUUUAACGCUUUAUUAAUAUUGUCAAUGGUAAAUUUGGCAAUGAUGUAUCUAUGCAAGAUACCUUAUGUUUAGUACUACUUUAUAUUUCAUUUAUGCAUUAUUUAAUGGAUUAUGAAGAACUUAUGUAUUCUAUAGAGUGUGUUAUAUUGGUCAUCAAAUUUGCAUAUGCUUGUGCAUAAAUGUUCUAGCAACAGAUUUGUUAAAUUAAUUAGAAUCUAAAAUGUCCUGCCUGCUACUGUUGAACAUAGCAAUAUUUAUUCAGAUUUUGUAGAUUUUAUAAUUUUUUUUGAAGCCAUGAUUUAUGUAAUUUAAUUGUUGCAUGUGUAAGCUUGUAUUGAUUCUAUACAGAAACUGAUUUAGGAUAAAUGGUUGUUGAAUGUUGGUUGUGAGGUGUAUGUUGGCUGCUGGAUCAAUGUUGUGUCUAACCGGUCUAGAAUUUAUUAUUUCAAGUUAACAUAUGGGUUUCUGAACUCUGAAGUUUUAUGGGCUUUCCCAGUCUGGCUUGGUUUCAAUUGUUUUUUUACUGGUGGCAAUGCUUAGAGAAGCCUCCCACUAUUGAGAUAUUCUUCUUGGAAUAUACACUAGUAUAUUCUCUUGAUUAUUCUUACUCCACUCACCUCUAUCUCUGACAUUCUUUCUUGAAUGAUUAUCUAAGCUCUUCAUUAAUGGUAUUUAAGCACUCCCAACAGCAAAAGAGUGGCUUGAAGUAUGAUCUCGAUCAAUGCUUGUCACGUGGUUCUUGAACUGGAGUCUCUUCCUUUUGGAUUAGUUUUUGGGUUAUAUAUCCAUUGAUCAAUUCAAAAAUUAUAAUCUUGCUAGAGACAUAACAAUCCUAUAUCUAUUACUCUUUGUCCAACCUACUAACAAAACAUUUGAAGUUAUAAAGGAUGUGACUCCAAUCCCAACAGCCAGUACUUGCAAAAAGGGAAGCAUCGAAGGAAGGAGUUGAGGAGAUUGUGAAUGAUCAUGGUCUAGUUCAGCAUUGCUGCUACUUAUGUUGCUCUUUACUUCUACCUAGCCUUAAGCAUUGUAAAUAAAUUUAAUAUUUUUUGUUUGAUGAAAUUGUAACAGUACACCACAAGCAUUUAUUAAUAAAAAUACCUAAGUUUAUAUAUAAUGGAUUUUUUAUUGAUUAUUAUUUUUUUAGGCAUAAAGGGCACCGAAUUAAGGGGAAAACUAGUGCCCUUAAAGACCCUUGAAUUGGUGUCCUUAACCUCUGUCAUGGGCAACCCCAAAAAAGGCACUGGUUCAAAACGGGUGCCCUAAGUUGGUUUUGAUAAUAAUAAUAAUGUGGCGCAAAAAAAAAAAA